CUACGGGGCGCUCCAGUGAGGAAUAUUGGGCAAUGGACGCAAGUCUGACCCAGCCAUGCCGCGUGAAGGAUGACAGCCCUAUGGGUUGUAAACUUCUUUUAUAUGGGAAAAAACCCCCGAACGUGUUCGGGGCUGAUGGUACCAUAAGAAUAAGCACCGGCUAACUCCGUGCCAGCAGCCGCGGUAAUACGGAGGGUGCAAGCGUUAUCCGGAUUUAUUGGGUUUAAAGGGUGCGCAGGCGGAGCGAUCAGUCAGUGGUGAAAUCCUACGGCUCAACCGUAGAACUGCCAUUGAUACUGUCGAUCUUGAGUAUAGUUGAAGUGGGCGGAAUGUGUCAUGUAGCGGUGAAAUGCAUAGAUAUGACACAGAACACCAAUCGCGAAGGCAGCUCACUAAACUACUACUGACGCUCAGGCACGAAAGCGUGGGGAGCGAGCAGGAUUAGAUACCCCGGUAGUC
rnacentral:rRNA from 1 species